rfam:Salmo salar isolate Sally breed double haploid chromosome ssa02, whole genome shotgun sequence.
UAUGCACUCUACUGUAAGUCGCUCUGGAUAAGAGCGUCUGCUAAAUGACAAAUG